UACGUAGGGUGCAGGCGUUAAUCGGAAUUACUGGGCGUAAAGCGUGCGCAGGCGGCUCCUUAAGUCAGAUGUGAAAGCCCCGGGCUUAACCUGGGAACUGCGUUUGAAACUGAGGAGCUAGAGUGUGGAAGAGGCGAGUGGAAUUCCCGGUGUAGCGGUGAAAUGCGCAGAUAUCGGGAGGAACACCAAUGGCGAAGGCAGCUCGCUGGGACGUUACUGACGCUGAGACGCGAAAGCGUGGGGAGCAAACAGG
rnacentral:rRNA from 1 species